rnacentral:misc_RNA from 1 species
UUGAGCCCUGCCCUCACGGGUAGACCUCCAACCCUGUGUAUUUAUACCUUUGUUGCUUCGGCAGGCCGUCUAGGUUUCGGCCUGGCUAUGGGCUUCGGCUCGUAAGCGCCUGCCAGAAGACACUUAAACUCUGUAAUCAAUGUCGUCUGAGUAAAAUUUAAUAAGUUA